GGUCCAAUAGUGUAGAGGUUAUCACACGGGAUUCUGAUAAGCGUUGGUCCUAACUAUGUGCUUCCCGUGACCCAGGUUCGAGUCCUGGUUGGACCU